rnacentral:tRNA from 2 species
AGGCCUGUAGCUCAACUGGCAGAGCAACGGAUUCCAAAUCCGUAGGUUGGGGGUUCGACUCCCUCCAGGCCUG